rnacentral:rRNA from 1 species
GACGAACGCUGGCGGCGUGCUUAACACAUGCAAGUCGAACGGAAAGGCCCUGCUUUUGUGGGGUGCUCGAGUGGCGAACGGGUGAGUAACACGUGAGUAACCUGCCCUUGACUUUGGGAUAACUUCAGGAAACUGGGGCUAAUACCGGAUAGGAGCUCCUGCUGCAUGGUGGGGGUUGGAAAGUUUCGGCGGUUGGGGAUGGACUCGCGGCUUAUCAGCUUGUUGGUGGGGUAGUGGCUUACCAAGGCUUUGACGGGUAGCCGGCCUGAGAGGGUGACCGGCGACAUUGGGACUGAGAUACGGCCCAGACUCCUACGGGAGGCAGCAGGGGGGAAUAUUGCACAGUGGGCGGAAGCCUGAUGCAGCAACGCCGCGUGCGUGAUGACGGCCUUCGGGUUGUAAACCGCUUUCGCCUGUGACGAAGCGUGAGUGACGGUAAUGGGUAAAGAAGCACCGGCUAACUACGUG